rnacentral:rRNA from 1 species
CCUACGGGAGGCAGCAGUGGGGAAUAUUGCACAAUGGGCGCAAGCCUGAUGCAGCCAUGCCGCGUGUGUGAAGAAGGCCUUCGGGUUGUAAAGCACUUUCAGCGGGGAGGAAGGCGUUAAGGUUAAUAACCUUGGCGAUUGACGUUACCCGCAGAAGAAGCACCGGCUAACUCCGUGCCAGCAGCCGCGGUAAUACGGAGGGUGCAAGCGUUAAUCGGAAUUACUGGGCGUAAAGCGCACGCAGGCGGUCUGUCAAGUCGGAUGUGAAAUCCCCGGGCUCAACCUGGGAACUGCAUUCGAAACUGGCAGGCUAGAGUCUUGUAGAGGGGCGUAGAAUUCCAGGUGUAGCGGUGAAAUGCGUAGAGAUCUGGAGGAAUACCGGUGGCGAAGGCGGCCCCCUGGACAAAGACUGACGCUCAGGUGCGAAAGCGUGGGGAGCAAACAGGAUUAGAUACCCCUGUAGUC